CUUUUCGAGGUAGGAGUCGACUCCUGUGAGGUAUGGUGCUGGGUGCAGAUGCAGUGUGGCUCUGGAUAGCACCUUAUGGACAGUUGUGUCCCCAAGGAAGGAUGAGAAUAGCUACUGAAGUCCUAAAGAGCAAGCCUAACUCAAGCCAUUGGCACACAGGACUCAGAAUUCAUGAUUGAAGAAAUGCAGGCAGACCUGUUAUCCUAAACUAGGGUUUUUAAUGACCACAACAAGCAAGCAUGCAGCUUACUGCUUGAAAGGGUCUUGCCUCACCCAAGCUAGAGUGCAGUGGCCUUUGAAGCUUACUACAGCCUCAAACUUCUGGGCUCAAGUGAUCCUCAGCCUCCCAGUGGUCUUUGUAGACUGCCUGAUGGAGUCUCAUGGCACAAGAAGAUUAAAACAGUGUCUCCAAUUUUAAUAAAUUUUUGCAAUCCA
rnacentral:lncRNA from 1 species